CAGCAUAUUUCCAAGGGCUGUGGUUGACUAUAACCAUUGGUUCGCCAACUGAAUGCGAGAACAACCUGGAGAGCCUUUGCCAGCUCAGGUCAACAUAAUAGCUGCAGCUGCCACUCACUUUUCCUUUUCUA